UACGGAGGAUCCGAGCGUUAUCCGGAUUUAUUGGGUUUAAAGGGUGCGUAGGCGGUUUGAUAAGUUAGAGGUGAAAUGUCGGGGCUCAACCCCGAAACUGCCUCUAAUACUGUUGGACUAGAGAAUAGUUGCGGUAGGCGGAAUGUAUGGUGUAGCGGUGAAAUGCUUUGAGAUCAUACAGAACACCGAUUGCGAAGGCAGCUUACCAAACUAUAUCUGACGUUGAGGCACGAAAGCGUGGGUAGCAAACAGG
rnacentral:rRNA from 1 species